CCUAUUGUUCUUGCUUCAAAAAGGGAAAAUGAUGGAAGUUCUAAGUGAAAAAAGUCUAUUUGAAUCUCUAAAAACCGCCCUUCUUAUGAGAAUUCCCGUCAGAAAACAGUCAGGGUCAGCCCGGUUGACUAGUGCACCGCGGCUCACUUCACAUUCUGCCCAUUUUCCUUCAAGCAGUCAACCCGGUUGGCUAGUGCGCCGCGGCUCACUGCCUUCUCUUCUCAAUCUUCUUCUAAUCACUCCCGAUUCAUUGUGAGCCAUGGUUAGCAUAUCUUAAACACUCUCUUUUGCGUCGUUGUGAGCUUUCUUCACAACCUUCAAAUGCUUUAACAUCGACAUUCUUCA
rnacentral:lncRNA from 1 species